rnacentral:rRNA from 1 species
GGACUUUCCGCCUAAAGAGAAGCUUGCGGCUGAUUAGCUUGUUGGUAAGGCAAUGGCUUACCAAGGCGACGAUCAGUAUCUGGUUUGAGAGGACGAUCAGACACACUGGAACUGAGACACGGUCCAGACUCCUACGGGAGGCAGCAGUGGGGAAUUUUCCGCAAUGGGCGAAAGCCUGACGGAGCAAUACCGCGUGAGGGAUGACGGCCUAUGGGUUGUAAACCUCUUUUUUCAGGGAGGAAUCAAUGACGUGUACCUGAAGAAUAAGCAUCGGCUAACUCCGUGCCAGCAGCCCGCGGUAAGACGGAGGAUGCAAGUGUUAUCCGGAAUCACUGGGCGUAAAGCGUCUGUAGGUGGUCAAAUAAGUCAACUGUUAAAUCUUGAGGCUCAACCUCAAAAUCGCAGUCGAAACUAUUCGACUAGAGUAUAGUAGGGGUAAAGGGAAUUUUCCAGUGGAGCGGUGAAAUGCGUAGAGAUUGGAAAGAACACCGAUGGCGAA